rnacentral:rRNA from 1 species
GACGAACGCUGGCGGCGUGCUUAACACAUGCAAGUCGAACGGAAAGGCCCCUUUGUGGUUACUCGAGUGGCGGACGGGUGCGUAACACGUGAGUAACCUGCCCUUGACUUCGGGAUAACUUCAGGAAACUGGGGCUAAUACCGGAUAGGAAUACUUGCUGCAUGGUGGGGGUUGGAAAGCUUCGGCGGCUUUGGAUGGACUCGCGGCUUAUCAGCUUGUUGGUGGGGUAGUGGCUUACCAAGGCUUUGACGGGUAGGCGGCCUGAGAGGGGGACCGGCCACAUUGGGACUGAGAGACGGCGCAGACGCCUACGGGAGGCAGCAGUGGGGAAUAUUGCACAAUGGGCGGAAGCCUGAGGCAGCAGCGCCGCGUGCGGGAGGACGGGCUUCGGGUUGUAAACCGUGUUCAGCAGGGGAGAAGCAUGUGGUGACGGUACCUGCAGAAGAAGCACCGGCUAACUACGUG